rnacentral:tRNA from 1 species
GCCCAGGUGGUGAAAUUGGUAGACACAUCAGAUUUAGGUUCUGGUACUGAAAGGUGUGCAGGUUCGAGUCCUGUCCUGGGCA